rnacentral:lncRNA from 1 species
ACGUCACGACCCGAAACUUCCCAUCGGGCCCGUGACAAUCGUCGCGAAGCCUCAACAGACAUUCUUCACCUCGAAUGCCAAUCGAAACAUCGCAAGGCUCUCGUAUCAGCUUUCGCACUUCCUCGAUGAGCAAUAGUUAUCAAAUAUCGUAAUUCGAAGGAUUAUGAGUCAUUUUCAAAUCAGAACAUAACAUAUUGUUUGCUAGCUCACAGAGGCAUUUUCGUCAUUUUUCGUCGAAAAUCUCAAAACUUGCUAAAAAUGUAGUAGGUAAGCAGAAAAUAUAUAUUUAGUGAUUUAAAAACAAAUUAAGUAUCUAAAACGUUCAUUUGAAGUGAAAAUUUGACCAUUUUAAUAUAAUUAAAAUAUUUAAUAAAAUAAAUUAUUUUCUUGUAAAAUAACUUUUAUAAAGCUAUUGGUAAAUAAUUCUUAUAACGUAAAAGUUAAUUAUAUUCAUAUAUAUUAUAAAGCAAAUAACCAAAGCAUAAAAUUAUUUUUACAACGACACGUGGGCCCACAUCUAACCAAAAUGCAUUGAAAGCUGAAAACCUACAGCUUUUGUCGAUUUAAGUCCAAAUAAAGGUCCUUGUCAAAGUCAGCUAACUAUGAAAUUUCCCGAGCCUGAAAUGUGAGGAAAUGAAGGUGGUGAGAUUAUAAAAUCACAGUGAGUAAACAAACACCAUCUAAACUAUCCAAAGGCGAGUAAAUGGAGACGAAUUAAAAUAUUCUUUUCCAAUAUAUGUUUCAUAACAUGAAUAUUCAGUUUACUCAAUUAAUCAACAUGGCUUAUAUAUCUCACAAAACUUGACUCCUGCCGAAAUCAUUCCCGGGGAUGCCUUGACCUAGGCGUCUGACCAAGACCACCAAGGCUGUUAAAUGUCUUUACAUCCGAAAUUCUAGCCAUGUCUUGGUGUUGGUUGAGUCUCACUCUCACGCAGUGGUCCACGUGAAGUGCACUCAAAUCUUUACCUCCGGAGAUACCCUCCACACGGCUCUCUGAUCGAGGUAAAGUAUAUCUGAUUCUGUGCCCCCUCUCUUAGGCUGAUCCACAGAACCUCCACUGCAGGGAUUAUGGAUUAUUUUAUCUACCACCUGAUUUAUAAAAUCUUUAUUUGCAUGACAUGACAAUUUAUCGCAACCUAAUCUCUCAAGGCUGAAUACAUAGUACAAAUAAUUCUAACGCAAAAAAUCAGUUUAGCCAUUCAUGCUCAUAUAUUGUCUUAAGCCAUUCAAUUUUAAACCAUAAAUUUACAACACAUCAAGUGGUCGCCAAUUACUCUAUUUUUCCAAAAUCAUCAUUUAAUUUCUAAAAAUUUAUAAAAUUAUUUUAUAAAAUCACAUUUAUUCAAAAAGCAUAACAAUUUACCAUUUAAACCCAUUUUACCAUAAAAUGUCAAAAUCGGAUACAAACUACUCUAGAUAAUGAAGACGAUAGUAAGGUUACUCACAGUUCUAGGAGUCGAUGUACUCCUAAUAUCAGUCUUCAAGCAUAAUCUUUGUACUUUUACUAGUGUAAUUUGCUCACCACUUAUCCACAAUGUACAAUACAUAAUUCACCACAUUAAUGCUUGACCAUUAUAAAAUCAAUUUAGGCUCAGUGUAUAUGCAUAAUAUGAUAUGCAACUUAUCCGACUACUACUUAAAUGCGGUGCUACCUAAUUCGGCCUAUUACCCGAUUAAAUGACAAUUGUGUCCGAUUUGGCUCCAAAUUGCUCCAUUUCAUUUCUAAUAUUUCAAUUCACUAAAUACAAUUUCAAUAAUCUAAAAUUCAACCUAACAACCCUCACAAUUCUUCUUGAAAAUUUCGGCCAUUGUGGUGCACUAUCACCAAAAAUUUUCCCAUUCCAUUUUCUCACCAUAAAUCAUCAUUUCAUUAAUUUUUCAAUCAAUUCACUUGAUCACAAAAUCAAUUCAUUACUUCUACACUUCACAUAGGGUUCGCCCAUUGAAGGUUCAUGGGGAAAUGGAUUUUUUUCUUGUUGUUUUGUUUCUAAACAUGCUUAACUAACUCUAAACACCAACAUAACUCAAAAUCAAACAAUUCCAACAUCAUUUCUCUCACCAAACCCAUUCGGCCAGCCAUGAUUUUCCCAUGAAAACAUACAAUCCAACUAUGAAAAUUAAGGAGAAAUCCAUGGGUAAGGUAAAUCACUAGCAAAAUCAAAGAAAUUUUACCUUUGCUUGAUCAAAUCCUUGAAUUCCAACACUUUCUUUUUGAUUUUCCCCACCUAGGGUUUGUUCUUCCUUGGUUUCUCUUCUCUUCUGGUUUGGCCGACCACUAUGGGAGAAAUGGGUUGG